GAUGAACGCUGGCGGCGUGCCUAAUACAUGCAAGUCGAGCGAACAGACGAGGAGCUUGCUCCUUUGACGUUAGCGGCGGACGGGUGAGUAACACGUGGGUAACCUACCUAUAAGACUGGGAUAACUUCGGGAAACCGGAGCUAAUACCGGAUAAUAUUUCGAACCGCAUGGUUCGAUAGUGAAAGAUGGCUCUGCUAUCACUUAUAGAUGGACCUGCGCCGUAUUAGCUAGUUGGUAAGGUAACGGCUUACCAAGGCAACGAUACGUAGCCGACCUGAGAGGGUGAUCGGCCACACUGGAACUGAGACACGGUCCAGACUCCUACGGGAGGCAGCAGUAGGGAAUCUUCCGCAAUGGGCGAAAGCCUGACGGAGCAACGCCGCGUGAGUGAUGAAGGUCUUCGGAUCGUAGAACUCUGUUAUUAGGGAAGAACAAACGUGUAAGUAACUGUGCACGUCUUGACGGUACCUAAUCAGAAAGCCACGGCUAACUACGUG
rnacentral:rRNA from 1 species